ACUGAGCAUUUCUUUCAGAACGCUGCUGAGCACUCCCAAAGGCACCAGAGCCCUAAGAUCCUCCUCUCACUCUACUAUCUAAGAAAGACUGGAACGUCAGCGCUGUGAUGUUUUUUCUGUAAACCUACCUCCAGAUUUGGUGAGAUUUAGGACAUAAUAUGACUCUCCGGACAUGAUGUGAAGUAUGGCUAUUGGACCACUGGAUGCAUAUAGGAUCACUCUGCUGCCAAUGGGCCUGUCCUGAACAGGACACAAAUGUGUUCAGUCAUAGCUAUUUUUGCUCCAUAGCUAAGUUUAGGCAAGCUUUGCGGAAUGUUAUUAA